rnacentral:rRNA from 2 species
AGUUAAUCUAACCUAUGGACGGGGAUAACCUCGGGAAACUGAGAAUAAUCCCCGAUAGAUCACAGUGCCUGGAAUGGCCUGUGGUUCAAAUGAUUUAUCGCCGUAGGAUGGGACUGCGGCCUAUCAGCUAGUUGGUGAGGUAAUGGCCCACCAAGGCUAUAACAGGUACGGGCUCUGAGAGGAGGGGCCUGGAGAUGGGUACUGAGACACGGACCCAGGCCCUAUGGGGCGCAGCAGGCGAGAAACCUUUGCAAUGUGCGAAAGCACGACAAGGUUAAUCCGAGUGUCUCCCGCUAAAGGAGUCUUUUGCCGGUCAUAGAACCACCGGUGAAUAAGGGGUGGGCAAGUUCUGGUGUCAGCCGCCGCGGUAAAACCAGCACCUCGAGUGGUCAGGAGGUUUAUUGGGCCUAAAGCAUCCGUAGCCGGCUGCUCAAGUUUUCGGUUAAAUCUAUGCGCUUAACGUAUAGGCCGCCGAACAUACUGGGCAGCUAGGGAGUGGGAGAGGUACACGGUACUCAAUAGGAAGGGGUAAAAUCCUUUGAUCUAUUGAUGACCACCUGUGGCGAAGGUCGGUGUCCCAGAACACGUUCGACGGUGAGGGAUGAAAGCUGGGGGAGCAAACCGGAUUAGAUACCCGGGUAGUCCCAGCUGUAAAUGAUGCAGACUGGGUGAUGCCUUGGCUUGUGGCCAAUGCAGUGCCGCAGGGAAGCCGUUAAGUCUGCCGCCUGGGAAGUACGUACGCAAGUAUGAAACUUAA